UACGGGGGGAGCAAGCGUUGUUCGGAUUUACUGGGCGUAAAGGGCGCGUAGGCGGCCUCUGCAAGUCGACUGUGAAAUCCCUCGGCUCAACCAAGGAAGUGCAUCCGAAACUGCCGAGCUUGAGUACUUAAGAGGAUCGCGGAAUUCCCGGUGUAGAGGUGAAAUUCGUAGAUAUCGGGAGGAACACCAGUGGCGAAGGCGGCGAUCUGGGAAGAUACUGACGCUGAGGUGCGAAAGCGUGGGGAGCAAACAGG
rnacentral:rRNA from 1 species